rnacentral:rRNA from 1 species
UUUUACAAUGUAGAGUUUGAUCCUGGCUCAGGAUGAACGCUAGCUACAGGCUUAACACAUGCAAGUCGCAGGGUAACAUGAGGAAAGCUUGCUUUCCUUGAUGACGACUGGCGCACGGGUGAGUAACGCGUAUCCAACCUUCCCAUAACUACGGGAUAACCCGUUGAAAGACGGCCUAAUACCGUAUGACAUCGUUUGCUGACAUCAAAUAACGAUUAAAGGUUUAGCGGUUAUGGAUGGGGAUGCGUCUGAUUAGCUUGUUGGCGGGGUAACGGCCCACCAAGGCUACGAUCAGUAGGGGUUCUGAGAGGAAGGUCCCCCACAUUGGAACUGAGACACGGUCCAAACUCCUACGGGAGGCAGCAGUGAGGAAUAUUGGUCAAUGGGMGARAGMCUGAAC